rnacentral:rRNA from 1 species
UACAGAGGGGGCAAGCGUUGUUCGGAAUUACUGGGCGUAAAGGGCGCGUAGGCGGCCUUCUAAGUCGAACGUGAAAUCCCCGGGCUCAACCCGGGAACUGCGUCCGAUACUGGAAGGCUUGAAUCCGGGAGAGGGAUGCGGAAUUCCAGGUGUAGCGGUGAAAUGCGUAGAUAUCAGAAGGAACAUCAGUGGCGAAGGCGGCUUCCUGGACCAAUACUGACGAUCAGGUGCGAAAGCGUGGGGAGCAAACAGG